rnacentral:snoRNA from 1 species
AAGACUGUAUUUCACAGGAUCAUUUCUGUAGUACGUCUUCACAUUUUACUGUUUCUAAACGAAACGUUUUCAAGCCAUGAUGAAGAGUUGUGGCGUUUUUUCCUGAGCGUGAAGCCGGCAUGUCAAUAGAUUCUAAAUCAGUUGACAUUGCUAUUGAUGAUCGUUCGCUUCUCACUUUCGGGUGGGAGGAGAGGGAAAGAAUGCUCUCAGAGUGGU